rnacentral:lncRNA from 1 species
UACAACCUGUAACAAGAGUCGAAGUUGUGAUACCAGAUGAUGUGAUCCUUACUAGGAGUGGAUCGCUUGAUACAGGUUACAGAGUUUUGGAUGACGCUACUUUCAGUGAGGGAAGAUAAGUCGGGGUAGGCGCCACAAGGAUUACCUUGAUAAGUCUGAGAUUGGUUCAGCGAGGAACCCAGAGAGAAGUUCUCACAAAUUUUAUCAAAUGCCAAAAGUUCUUAUAUUGAAAACGAAAUCCAUACAUAUAGUAUAUCUAAACAAAAAAAUAGAAAUAGACAUGGGCCUUCAAAACAGUUUGGGCCAAAAUUACAACAAAAAAAUUAUAAAUAAAAAACAUAUUUGACAUAGGCCUUCAAAUUGGUCUAGGCCUUCAGCAACAAUUAAUAUUCUUAGUAGUGCCUUUGCCUCUGCCUCUGGGCCUUCAUCCUUCUCCACUUGGGCCUUGCUAAGUAUGUCUGAUAUCAUUUGUUGGAGGGUAUCCACUGACUGUUUGGUCCUACUCCUGGUCAUAAGUCCUUGUAUUUGGGUAGUUAAAACUGCCCAAAUAUAGGGACCUAUUGUCGCAACCUACCUUUCGGCGGGAGGGCGACGCGGGACUUGCGGGUGCAUCUUCCAAAGAAGGAAAACGUGCGGAGUUGCCACCAACGUUUAUUCGAGGAAAACGUCGAAAAAACCAGAAAAGGCGUGGUCUACGAACUUUAAGUGAAAGGUUCGGGAGUUGUAUUUACACACGGGAAGGUAUUAGCACCCCACGUGCCCAUCACAAGGGACGACAGUCUUUAAUCAAGUGUGCAAACAUGACUUCAAUUUGUGUUAUCUUCCCUUUUUUACGUUCUUAUGUCUUUUUAUGCCUUUUUACAUUUUUUUAUCUUUUUGUGGUCGACAAGGGUGUUUCUCUUGCUCCUACGUAUUCCUCAAUUGUGAUAAGGAAAUCAGACCUACGUAGUUCUUUGAGAACUGAGCAUUGGUUAAGUUGUUUUUAUCCUUUUUGCAAGAUAUAUUUUGAUUGAAUGAAAGGUCAUUUAAGGCGUUGAACCAUUAAACAAUCUUUCGGUUCUUUUGAAAGGAGAGAAAACAUUAAGGCAUUGGACCAUUAAUGAUCUCUUGUUAUUUUUGAAAGAGGUAAUAAAGCUACAUGUUGAUCUUAGGCUUUUUUAGAAAUCUACGUUUAACCAAUAAAAGCGGAAAAAACCAUUUCAAGGCGUUGGACCUUUAAAAAUGGCUUUUAGGUGAUGACAAAAGUUUGAUUUAUGAAUUGAUUUUAGCCUUAGUUUCACUUUGGUUAUUAGUCAAUUCGAUUAAGAAAGAAAAAUUUCAAAGAAAAACGUCCGAUUGAUUUUUUUGAUUAUUUUUACUAAAAGAUAUUUUUUUAUUAUUAUAUUAUUAUUUUGCCUCUUUUUUGGUUUUAAACGUGGUUACGGCAUGACCGAACGGUCGGAUUUCAUUUUAACAGAAAUUAAAAGAUGUUACAAUUCAAAUGAUCAGUGGAAAUUUAUUUUAUUUUUUUAUUAGGCGAGAAAAUGACUUAAAUAAAUGACUAAAGCACGUCAAAAGGGGUACGGAAAGUAAAUGAAAUGAAAAUAAAAGCACGCGAAACAAGUGGGGACCACUAAGGGUAAAUAGAAUGAAUUGAAAAGUUUGAUUUCGGAAACUUACCAGUUGAAGACCGAAGAACGACGAAGAACGGUGGAAAAUCUUCAGAAAAUCGCCCAUGGAAACGUCUCGAAAGCGUUAAGGAAGCACUUCGGCUUGGAUUUUCUUCACGAAAACAAUUUUUCUCACUAAUUUUAAGUGAUUCUCAGAUACCAAGAGGGUUGAACAUUUUUGUUCUGCCCUCCUUCCCCUAUUUAUAGGGAAAAAGAGGGAGGAGCUUGCCACCCAUCUCGCCUAGGCAAGCUAGGUUGCUUCCUCCAGAAGGCACCGCCUUCUGGUGGAACUUCCUGGAAAGCCCAAGUGGGCCUGAUUGCUAUUUGUACCCCCUGUUUACUAAAUACACCCCCUGUCCCUUUUUUUUUGCUGAUUCUUUUUUCGUAACGUUACAGAACUUUACGAAUUAUGUAACGAUACUUGUUUUCUUUCCGUAAUGUCACAGCCGUUACGGCUUAUGUAAUCAUCCCUUUUUUUGGCUUCGGGGAGGUUACGGAACUUCACGGAUUGUGCAACAAUGCUUCCUUUUGACUUCCGACAUGUCACGAAACUUCACGGAUUGUGCAACAAUGCUUCCUUAUGACUUCUGGCAUGUCACAGAACUUCACGGAUUGCCUAACGAUGGGUGCCAAGUACCUCGAAGUGGUCAAACGAGGGUCGCAUCCCAACAAACGGAUGGUCCCUAGACGAAAUUAGGGUAUGACACCUAUGACCAGGAGUAGGACUAAACUGGUAGCAGUCAUAUUUAACAAGGCCCAAGUGGAGAAGGAUGAAGGUCCAGAGGCAGAGGCACUACAAAGAAUUUUAAUUGUUGUUGAAGGCCCAGAUUAAUUUGAAGGCCCAUGCCAAAUAUAUUCUUUUUUAUAUUUUUAUUUUUUUUGUUGUCAUUUUGGCCCAAAUAUAUUUGAAGACCCAAGCCUAUUUCUAUCUUUUGGUUAAGAUACACUAUAUGUAUUAAUUUCGUUUUCAAUAGAAGGACUUUUGACAUUUGAAAUUUUUUUGUGAGAGCUUCUCUCUGAGUUCCUCCCUGAACCAAUCUCAGACUUAUCAAGGUAAUCCUUGUGGUGUUUACCCUAACUUAUCUUCCCUCUCUAGAAGUGGUGUCAUCCAAAACUGAUGAGGAUCCUAAGACUGGCCAAAUACAGGGACCUAUGACCAGGAGUAGGACCAAACAGUUAGUGGAUACCCUCCAACAAAUGGUAGCAGACAUACUUAACAAGGUCCAAGUGGAGAAGGAUGAAGGCCCAGAGGCAGAGGUACUGCUAAGAAUAUUAAUUGUUACUGAAGGCCCAUGCCAAAUAUGUUCUUUUUUUAUAUUCUAUUUUUUUUCGUUGUCAUUUUGGCCCAAACUGAUUUGAAGGCCCAUGUCUAUUUCUAAUUUUUUUUAGAUACACUAUAUGUAUUGAUUUUGUUUUCAAUAGAAGGACUUUUGGCAUUUGAUAAAAUUUUGUGAGAACUUCUCUUUGGGUUCCUCGCUGAACCAAUCUCGGACUUAUCAAGGUAAUCCUGUGGCGUUUACCCUGAAUUAUCUUCCUUCACUGGAAGUGGCAUCAUCCAAAAACUCUGUAACUUGUAUCAAGCGAUCCGCUCCUAGUAAGGAUCACAUCAAAAACUCUGUAACCUAUAUCAAGCAAUCUGCUCCUAGAAAGGAUCACAUCAUCUGGUAUCAGAGCCAAGUUCUUGUUAUAGGUUAUAUCCUAUCCAAUUUUUUUUCUCUUUGUAAUUGUAGGGAUUGAGGGAGUGAAGGUGAAGAUCCAUACUUUUAAAGGGACUUAUGAUCCAGAAGUGUAUCUUGAGUGUGAGAUGAAGAUUGAGCAAGUCUUUGCUUGCUACAACUACAACGGAGAGAAAAAGAUCAAAAUGGCCUCCCUGAAGUUUGAGGGAUAUGCCUUAGUGUGGUAGAAUCAAGUGAUGAGUGAUGUUAAAAGGAUGAGAAUGCCUUUGAUUAAUACUUGGCAAGACAUUAAGAGAGUUUUGAGAGAGAUAUUUGUGUCAUCAUAUUAUGCGAGAGACCUUCACAACAAGCUUCAAAGACUAAUUCAAGGAAAUAGGAGUAUGGAUGAGUAUUACAAAGAGAUGAAGAUUUCCUUGAUUAGGACUCAAAUUGAGGAGUCUCAAGAGGCCACCAUGGCAAGGUUUUUGCAUGGUCUGAAUAGGGAGAUCCAAGACAUUGUAGAGUUGCACCACUAUGCCUCUUUGGAGCAUCUCAUUCAUCAAGCUAUCAAGGUGGAACAACAAUUAAAGAGGAAGCAAAGAUACAAGAAGUCCCUCUAUGACUCUUCAACUUGGAAAGAUAAGGAGACAUUCAAGAAGGAGGGAGGAUCUUUAUUCAAAUCUCAUGAAAAAGGUGUUGCCCUUGGUAAAAAUAAUUCUAACCCUACUCCCACUUCUUCAAAGGCGAGUUCUAUUAAAUGUUUUAAGUGUUUGGGAAAGGGUCAUAUUGCCUCCCAAUGUCCUAACAAAAGGACUAUGGUUGUGCUGGGUAAUGAGGAUAUCAUUAGUGCAUCUUCUUCUAGCUCUUCAAGUUCUUUUAGUGAGAGUGAAAGUGAAUGGGAUGUACAACCCCUAGAAGGUGAUCUUUUGAUGGUUAGGAGGUUAAUGGGGAGUGUGUGUAAGGAUGGAGAUGAAACUCAAAGGGAGAACAUUUUUCAUACUAGUUGCAUGGUCAUGGGGAAAAUAUGCUCUAUUAUUGAUGGGGUAGUUGCACUAAUGUAGCUAGCCAAAGAUUGAUUGAAAUGCUUGCUUUGAAAACUUCCCCUCACCCUGGGCCAUACAAACUACAAUGGUUGAGUAAGAAUGAGGAGCUAGUUGUAGAUAGACAAGUUUUGAUAUGCUUCUCCAUUGGAAAAUAUGUUGAUGAGAUACUGUUUGAUGUAGUCCUUAUGAAGGCUAGCCAUCUCUUACUUGGAAGGCCUUGGUAGUAUAAUAGGGAUGUCGUCCACAAUGGUGUCAUAAACAAAUUUUCAUUUGUACAUAAAGGGCAAAAGGUUACCCUUAAACCUUUGUCUCCAAGUUAGAUUUGUGAGGAUCAAAUAAAAAUCAGAGUGAAAAAAGAACAAGAGAGAAAAAAAGAGAAAAAAACUGAUGAAAAAAGAGAGAAACAUAAAAGGAGAGAAAAGAAAUAAAAGGGUGGAGAUAAAAAAAAGUGAAACUGAAAAAAAAAAGAUGAAAAUCAAGAGAGGAAAAUACAGAGUUUGUUCAUGAAAGAAAAAGAGGUGAAGAGAGUGCUACUAGGUAGGCAACCUAUGUAUUUACUAAUGUCUCGUGAUUAUUGUUUGUCUUCUAUUGCUAGUUUUUUUCCUCUAGGUGUGAAAGAAUUACUCAAAAAGUUUGGGGACGUCUUCCCCAAAGACCCCCCCUCAUGGGUUAACUCCUUUAAGAGGGAUAGAGCACCAAAUUUAUCUCAUUCUAGGAGCUUCCUUACCAAAUAAGUCAACAUAUAGAAGCAAUCUGGAAGAGACAAAAGAGAUCCAAAGGCAACUGGAGAGCUUGAUGAAAAAAUGAUGGGUGAGAGAAAUCUUGAGCCCAUGUGCUAUGCCUGUCAUCCUUGUAAAUCAAACUCUAUCUCAACUUCUAAAGUACGUGGUAGGUAAGAAUUUGAAAGCUUGGGAGGAAUGCCUACCUCAUGCUAAAUUUUCUUAUAAUAGGGUAGUAAACUCUACUACUUAUUCUCCUUUUAAGGUAGUUUACGGUUCUAGUCCAUUGUCUCCUCUUAAUUUGUUACCUUUGUCUAACACUUUUGCUAGGAUGAAUAGGGAUGGACUUUCUAAAGUCAAAUUUGUCAAGAGUUUGCAUGAGAAGGGGGAAGCAAAAAUUGAGAAAAAGAUUGAACAAUAUGCUAGAUAUUCCAAUAAGGGGAAAAAGAAAAUGGUUAUCAAACUAGGUGAUUGGGUUUAAAUUCACUUGAGAAAGAAUAAGUUUACUUCCAAACGAAAAUCUAAACUUCAAGAAAAGGAAGAUGGUCCUUUUCAUGUUUUAAAACGCAUCAACUAUAAUGCAUAUAGAAUUGUUUUACCACUAGACUAUGGUGUAAGCAACACUCUUAAUGUUAGUGACUUGACUUGAUGUAGGUAUCUUUGACAUCAAUUCAAGGGCAAAUUCUUCCUAAGAAGAAGGGUAUGAUAGAGAACUAUCUAAGGAGAAAGAGUUUGACUUAGGUGGGCUCAACAUGGAUGGACCAAUCACUUAACAAGGAGUAAAAGAUUUCAAAAAAAGUCUGGCAAGAGACCAAAUUCUCUCAUGGAAGAAAGAGAAGAAAAAGUAUUUUAGUAAACUUUUAGAAUAAAAUUUAUUUUCGUUUUUAAUUAUAUUUAAGGCCUAUUUUUAGGCUUGUAAUAGACUACUAUCUUUUUAUUGUUAUUUAAGUCUUUUAAUUAUUAGAUGAGUUAUUGGACAUUAAGUUUAAUUUAGGAUUAUUAGUAGGAGUUAUAAAUAGACUCCUUAAACACUUUAUUUGCAGUUUUGAUCAAAUUUUUAGAUUAGGCACCCAGUUAAGAGAGUGUCUUUCUUGAUUCUUGUGUAAAAACUUAGGUUCUUAUAGAAGAAUUCUAUUAUUUGUGACGAAUCAUCCUCAAUUGAUCAAACUCUCAAGAUUGUGGCAUUAUUUUCAUCUUCUUCUCUAAUCCCAUUUUUUUUUCCUUUUAUUUUUUCCAAUUUCAUAGAAUCUUAAAUAGGUUCCCCAGUUUAUGGAUACUAAAAAUUGGAUCCGCAAAUCAGAAUUUCAUCACAAAAGACAAUUAUGUCUUUUCAUUCAUGACACCCUUGCGAGCAAAUGAGCAACCCGAUUUACUUGCCUCUAGAUAAAAUGCAGCUCGACGUUAUGAAAUUGAAGAAGCUUUAGUCUACAUUUGUGAAUUAAAAUGUUAUCAGGUUUUAAUCCUCAAAAUUAUUUUAAAAAAAUUAUAGAUUAAAAACAUAUUUGAACUAAUUUUGAAAAGAGGGUGCGAGACUCAGGAGUUCUAGAAUUUGCAGUUAGGAAGUUGCGCAAGCAGAUAUGCAAAGUCCAUGACAUGUGAAAUCAUUUGGUUCCAAAGCAAGGCAUUGUUGCAGAAACCAGUUCAAAUUUUCCAUUUUCAAUAUCUAAGCUGGGAUCAACAAUGAUCUCUAAUUUCAGAGGGCCGUUCUUUCCUUGUUUCAGCAACAUUUUCAGAAGAAUUAACCAUACACGGUAAUAGUUUAACUUAUCAGGAAGAUGUUUUUCCUGCAAUUGCAAGCUCUUACCCACCUCUAAUGUACUGGUACUCGGAAGUCCUUCCCCAGAAAGUCUCGGGUCAAUAGCAAGUCUUCCAAUGGCAUCUUUAUCGUUUCUUGGACCAAGAUUUUGGUUAUUCAUUUGCUCUUUAUAAGCUGAAUAUACUUUUCCAGCCUUGAUGUUCCCAAACAAGAUUUCUGCGGCCCUGUUCUUAACAAGAAUUGGCAUGUAAUCUGAUUCGUCCCAGACAUAUAGCUGCCAAAAUUGCAUCAAUAAGCAAUGUUAAGAUUAUAAUUUUACAAGAAUAAUCUAAAUGUUACAAAUCAGAUGCAUAACAAAACUUGUAUGUUCCCUCAUGUUAUCUGAUCUCUAUAAUAAUUAUGAAACAAAUAGUGGCACCAGACACAUUCAAGUUUACUUCAAAAUUUUAGACACUUGAAAGAUGCCUCACAUUUCAUCAAUUUGGCUAUGGAUAGUUUUGUUUCAUUUAUAAGAGAUAUGUGGAAUUGUAGGUUGCUCUUUGACAACAAGAAGUGUCUUUCUACUUUCAUAUGAAUGAUGAUUAUGAAUGUAUCAUUAAACACAGCACAUAAAUUAAUCCUCAAAGCCUAGUGAGUGAUUGAACAAGAUCUUGAUGAGGAGAAACACAUGAGCAAGAUGCAUGUACAUAUAUUUACCAAGAAGGGCCGAUAUAUCGAGCAUAUAGAGUGAAGGCGGCUUGAAGUUUUCCAACAGAUCAGUGGAACAGCAUUUUGCUCAAAUCUGAAAGAAGGGGAAGAGUUAUCACUGAUCAUAAUGGAAGGAACAACAAGAAGGCUAAAGUAAUUAUAUAAACUAGCACUUUGAAUCUAAGGGUGAACCACAGAGCUGGCAGCCAGUGCAUAAGAGAUCAUCCACUAAUUCGUUAUCCUCAGUUCUGCAAACUCUCCUGCUAAUGAAAACCUUCUCUUUCUUGGUAUCACCAAGAGUCCUGGAGGUAUGUAGUGGAACAAUUUCACCAAUCGAUGCACAUACUAUAGCCUUGCAGGAUGUUGUUAGCUGAGAGACUUCCAUAAGUGAAAAGCAGUCCCUAGGCUUUUCCUCUUCAAGCACCGUCCAGUUUCUAGGCAGAUGCUCUAUUUUCUGUGUCUAUCACAUUCAGUAGAUUCAUCAGUAUAUCUUAACCAAUACAGUACGGACUAUGGAUGAAGCAUAUUGAUAGUUUUAGUAAGUGAAAUACUAACGUAGUCAACUUAUCAAUGACAACCAUUUUUGUUAAUGAAAUUUGAAUCUAAAUAUGAAAUGAACAUGAUAUAAUAGUCUCGAUUACCAGUAUUUAUGUUUGCAAGAUAAUGGAAUUACAAUGAAACCGGACAGGCAUAUAAUAUUAGUGACAUGCUAUAUAAUAAAACAAAAGGAUUUGCUAGCUUUUAAUAUCUUACUUGCCUCAGGACAAUUGACACAACUAGAGGUAUCAAAUGGAUGGAUGAAUUUUGAAUUGAAGGUAAGACUGUUGCAUUUUCAUUGUCCCACCUUCCCAAUGCAAUUGAAUGUGAAAGAAACAAAAUGUUGGAUUGACAUUCAACAGGGUUUUAAACAUAAAAACACACACACACUAAAGCAUUAAUCAUUUAUGAUCUGUUAAAAAUGUAUUAGAAAAAUUCAAUCCAUUCAUGACACAAUAAAAAAUCAUCCAACUCAUCCAUAAACCUUUUUUUAGGGAUGAAUAUUCAAUUCAUCUAUUUAAAGUAUCUUAUAUUUUACUUUUUCAAAAAAAUUAUAAAUAAAAUUCAAUAUUUAUACAGUCUUAUACUCAAACACCAGAGUCUAAAACUUAUCCCUCAAAUACCUAUGCUGAAACAAUGAACUUUGAACUAUUUGACCCAAUGAAUUACAAAAAUAUGUUACAUGGUUCAAUAUCCACCCAAACAAAUGGUGAUCCAAUCCAUUGAUUAUUAUUUUUUUAAUGGGAUGGAUUUGUUGGAUUUAUACAUGAGUCAAUUGGAUGAUUGAUGGAUAAAUGACACACUCGUCUAACAUAGCACAUAGCACACUCAUCAAAUACAGGACAUGAAUUGGACAGACAAGUGCACAGAUUUGGAUUUUGUACUUAUUUUUUUCUCUUUUGAAUACACCUAUGCUAUUUGCUAUGUGACUUAAUCUUCAAACAGCAGAAGUCCUAAUUUCUUAUCCUAAACUUUAUGUGAUAAAUGCAACAGACGAUGCCCUCAGCCUAAUAACGUAACCAAAGCCAUAGGAUAUUAAGAUGUAGUGUGCUAAUGAUACUUCUAUGGUUUCAUGAUGUAUCCUCACACCCUUGUCGGAAAUGUAUAAUAGGGGCAACAAUUACAGGGCAAAGAGAAUACUUGAUUGGACUGCAACUUAAUGUUGCAAAUGGUUGACCGAGACUGCUGCACCCAUUUUAUGACCCUCCUAAGCUUGUCCUUUGUUGUUGUCCCCACACGGCAACCUGUUACCAACUCUUCAACAGCUGCACAGAAACAUAUUGUAAAAGUUGAAUCCUUUUAAAAGCAUAGAGUAACUAAUUGUAUCCGCAUUCAAUAAUUCUUGUUGCACAUCACAUGGUAUCUCACAUCUGCAUGGGAGGGUAGAGAGUCUUAGCAGAACCAGCUGCAAUCAGAUGGCAAAAACUGUGCACAUGUCUAAUGUGGAGGUAAUCAUUAGCAUGAGAAAACACUUACAUAGGCAAGAGAAAACUUAGUUUCAGUACCCCUGGUAUUGUUUUAAAACUUUGUACCCCAUUGCUCAGAGGCUCUUCGCUAUGCGAAGGUAUGGGGGAGGGAUGUUGUACGCAGCCUUACCCUUGCAUAUGCAAAGAGGCUGUUUCCGGAUUCGAACCCAUGACCAACAAGUCACCAAGGCACAACUUUACCCUGGUAUUGUUUUGCAAUCAAAAUUAAAGUUUCACUUUGGUAGCCCAUGCAAUAAAAGUUUACCGUAAAGGUUGUUGCUAGUUAUGAUGGUGAAAGUGAAACUCUAAUAUUGAUUAUAGAUAAUAUAAGAAACAUUUAGAGCAUCUCCAAUGGGGCAACUAUGGUGGAGUUGCUAAACUCACUUUUGACGGGACCUAUAAUGACUCAUGAGAUUUAAGAACUUCAACAAGUUUUCUCUAUAAUGGUACAAAUUACAAUCCUCAAAACUUAAAAAGGGUCUAAUAAUUGUCUCACAAUUCUUGAAAACUGUUAAGAACGGUUGCUUAUAUAAGCAACAAUUCUUAUACAAGAACUGUCACAUCAAUUGCUCCAAUUGUGAAACAGCAUAACAACAUAUUCUCAAGUUUAAGAACCUCAUGCAACUCUCAUCAAUUGCUCUUCCUGCACCUAGUUUCGUCCUUUAAUUUUUGAAUUAACACUGAAGUAUGCGUAUGUGUCUGUGUUCUGUGAGUCAAAUUAGUUCUCGAGAACCGUCUAGAUUCCAUGCACUACGAUUCUUCGCACAAUCACGCAGUCAGCAAAUUGAAACCAUUGGAUGAAGAUCGAGUAAUAUUUCAUCUCGACAAAUCAAACUUAAAAUACGAAAUGGAGAUAUGAGGUCCAAUCUUUAUUUAACCGUCACAAUUCACUGACUGAGUAAAGCAGUAAAGGUGUGUUUGAAACUCCGUUUAAAACAUGGUGAACGCAAAUUCCAACUAUUUUGCUCAGCCACAAUCAUUCAAUUGCUUUGGAAUGUGCAAAAACAUAGAAACAAACACACACUGAAUGUAUGAAAAAAUUUGAUGUUUUUACUCAUGAAUGCAGUAAUUAACAAAACAAUUGAAUUUAUUAACUCAUGAAAGAAGAGAAGCACAGAAAAAACAGACCCUUUGAGAGAAGUGAUUGGUAAGGGUGAACCAAGCAAAGCAGCGAAGACCACUGAACGGUUCUGGCCUCAACGGCGUUUCCAUACUUCGCAAUCUUGAGAUCUGCCACGUGUCAAAUCAGCAUUAGUUAACGGCGUCAACUCAUUCAAUAGCUAGCUACGAGUUUCGAAGAAACGGAUGACGGAUUGAUUUUACUCUGUAACAAGACGACAUCUCCGGCUGAUACCAUGGACCCCAUUUGCUUCUGCCAAAGAGAAACCACAAAAAACGGCAUCGUAUCGUCGCCGACUUCAAUGUCGGUUCGGGUUAGGUCGCGUCCACGUUUCCACGAUUUGCACUGGGGAAUAAGAAAGAAAAAGGGACGCAAUUAAGUUAACAGAAGAAGAAGUCUAAUAAUUAAGGGAGAAACCUGAACGGGGAAGGAACGGUGAACGAAGACGAGAAGCUGAACGAAAUCGCCGAUGCGAGAAGAGGUUGUGGAGAGGUCUAUGAGAGGACCGUACCAUCCAAAUGCUGAACCCAUCUUCUUCUCCUUCUCUUCUUUUGGCGCCAACAAAUGGUUCGUAUUCUUGUAACCUAGGCCAAGAGCAACAACUACUUUACUUUUAUGUCUUUUUAAUUUUAUUCAUCUAAGAUAUUUUAUUUAUUUUAAUUAUUUUAAAUUGCUGAUUUUUUUAAUUUUAAUUCUCGUAAGUAUGAAUUUAAUUAUAAAUUAAAAAAAUUAAAAUAUUACAGGAACUAAAAUUAGAUAAACACAAACUUAUAACAAACUUAUAGAAAUAGAAAAUGAAAAAGUUACUGACUUACAAAAAAUAAAAAUAUAUUUAAGUUAAAGUGUUGUUGUUUGGGUAUUUUGUGUAACACUCCAAUGUUGGUCUAAAACUAGAGAAUUGUUUAAAGAUUUUUGCUAAGGAGAAAUGUUAAAAAUAAUAGAAAACAUAUUUUUACGUAUUCUAACAAAAAAAAAAAAAAAAGUCCCUUCUUUAGGUUAGCAUUUGUAUCUUAAAUAUAAUUAUUAGCAUUUGCCUUGUUCGACUUUGUGAAAAAAAGUGUAUCACCGAAAAAGAGUAGUACUAAAGGCACCACAAAAAUGAUACUCAAGUUUUAUUCAUUAAGUUUACACUAAAGAUUACAGUCGGUAAGAUAUUUAAAAUAAUUACGGUAAAUAAUUAACAAAUUUAUAUAUUUGUUAAUUUUUGUUAGAAAAAAAUUGAAUUUAAUUGAUAUGACCUAAUAGUUUAAAAAUAUUUUUACAUUAUCAACCAUUCAUAUAAAAUAGGGACACUAAAAAAUAUUUAAUUUAUCCUAACUUCUUUGAAAGUCACAAGUAUCAUAAAUUAUAUUAAUUAAUUGAUAGUAUAAAAAAUUACUCGAUGAUAAUGAGUAACACUUAAACUCAUUUUUACAUUAUUAUUGUACAGACCAUCUACUAUAUUUUAAUUUUUACUUUAUAGAACUUAAAUACUUUUUUGUGAUACAAUUCUAAAAUGUUACAUUAAAUAGGUUUCACGGGUAUUUUACAUUUUAGUUUAAAAUUUUAACUCAGUUUUUGAUUAAUUUUAAAAGCAAUAAAAACAUAAAAAAAAAAUACAUAUAAUAUAUUAUAAAUAUAACUUUUUUAACUAAAUAUUAUAAAUAUAACUAAUUUAGUUCUAUUUCUUUUAAAAAUAUUUUAUUAGAGAAAUUGGAAAUGUAUGAAAAAGAUAAUAAUACUAGAAUUUUUUCCACUAAUAAAAAUAUUUUUAAAAAUAAUGCAAAAUACAUGACAGUAUAAGGAAAACAACAUAUUUAAUUAUAUCAUUAAGUUAAAUCAUUCCGUAUAUUUCUUUAAUGCAAAAUACAUGACAGUAUAAUGAAAACAUUUUAUAGCAUGUAUCCUUGGAAAUACUAAGCCAUGAGAAAUAUGGCCUUCUCCAAAGUGAAUCUUACACUAGAACUUUUAUAAGCACCACCACCUCUUCCAUGAGGUGAAAUUUUUGCCAAAACAACAGUGGAAAAUGAUGAAAUUUAAGAGCAAAGCAUGAAACUAAUCAUCAAUGUUUCAAGAACACUACCAAUGGACUGGAUACCACUUAUAUCUUUUAAUAAUCCCAUAAAGCAUAUAAAAAAAAUCAAAGAAUUUAACCAUAAAUGAAACACAGUAUCAGACAGGAUCAACAAUGAUAACAAACUGCAGCAAUGGUAUAAAACAAAUGACUAUUCCAUUUCAACGUUUACCAAAGUCAGAAGGUAACAUAAAAAAAGGUUUCAGAAACCAAAUUACUAAUACAAGUGACCACCCAAUGUCAAAAAAUUUAUUGGGCUGCAGUCAAACCAAAAUAGAAACGAAGUAUGAAUUGGCCUCAGCCUCUAUUAGAGAACCAAAUACGUGCACAUACUAAGUAGAUGGAACGGGCCAACAAAAACAAGCGCCAAUUCCAUUAAGAAGGUUCUGUUAGAAAACAGGCAGUGAGGCCAAAUCUAUAACAGAACCUCCUGCUUUUUUUAUCUAAACACCUACCUCCCAAAUCUCAGUUUUAAACAGGUUCAUAGAACAUUAGCAAAUUUAGACAAUGCAAUUUUCCCACCUAUGUCGAACUAUACACUAUUUUCCACAAUGGAGCCGAGUGCAUUCCAUUAAGAGAAUCAACAGAUUCAUCACAUAAAAAUCUUUGGUUGCAAACCGGAUCUGCCACCUCAAAACUACCAACUCACCGAAAAUAGGAGCUCAUGUACAGCCUCACUCCAAUAUCAAGGGGGCCAUCAUCACCACCAACAGCAUGAAGUGCUACUGGAAUUGUUGAAAGAAGACACACUGUGAGUGGGAAAAAUGCAGGGUCAAUUUCAGUUUCCGAUAAGUCUGAUCUUGAAAUGGGCUCCUCCCUGUCCAUGGCAGUUAUACUAUCAUCCACUUUCAUUACUUCACUCUGGUUAGAAUUAUCCAUGGUAAAAUCCAGGUUAUAUGGACAAGUAAGCAAUGCAACUUCUUCAAAUGCCCUCCACUUGUUAGGGCAGCCCCUCCUAAAUGCACACUUACUAGUAGACAUGCUAAGCACCAAAGUGGAUGUUGUCUCAAGCCACUCCACAGUCAAACCUUCAACUUCAUCAUAAUAUAUGCGUCGCUCAAUCUGAAUAUGAACAGUGUACAUAAGAAUGGCAUGAAGCAUUUGUAACAGAAAAGUACCAAAUUGCAUAAGUUAAAUUAUGCAAAAACUCUCAACUAGUACAUCAUAUACACUUAUUUUUUUCAAUAUAGUGCAAAAUUCAGAAUAUGCAAAUUCUCUCUGGUGUUUUGGUGUCUCCAGGAUGACAGAAUUAAUAUGCACCUAGUUAGAUUCAAUAUUCCUACGUUUAUAAAAUUUUCUAGGAUAUGAACUUAAGCUUCUUUAUAAAUCUAUAGUGAAAUAAAUAAGGUACUUCUCCAAUGGUAGAAAUUGAAUAGAUUACAAAAUAUGUAUAGUAUUUUUUUUAUCCGUAAAUGUGUAGUAUUCCUAUUCAAGUAACACCAACGACACCAACAACCAAGACGUUUUCUAUUAGGUUCAGUUAUAUUAUAUACAUGGAUAAAAUGAUGCCAUAAUGUCCUAUUAUGAAUUAUGUGAUGUCAAUAGACAAACUACUCGAUCAACAACGCCCAACCUCUUAAAAUGAAAAUUUUCCAACACAUGUUAUCAUUGACUAUCAAAAAAAUGGUUAUCUCUGACAAUCAGCAUCAGAAAAUGCCAAGAUCAUACAAGCCAUUUUCUUAUUCUAGUGAUUUGCAUAAGGUAUUCCACAUAAAAGAAAAUAAAAAGCAUACUUAUUUAAGAGACACUUUGACACCUAUACUCUAUGCAAAAUUAGAGCUGCAUAUCGUCAGAAGUUACUUACAGCUAGCUUUUGAAUAUAAAUUGACAUGAAUCUUGGGCCUAGUCCCAGUAUUCUUGCUUCUGACAAUAAAACCUGCACAAUUGAUGUAACACUUUUUAAGUGCAAAGGAAUAUAUAUGAGAACCAAACCUAGGAUUUUUCUUUUAAAGAGAAUGAUGACAGAAGUGACUUUCAUUUACCAAGAGAAUGAUUUAGAAAAGUUAUACCUCCUUUUUCUUCAGGAGAAACCAUAUGUAAAGUUUAUCACAGGCAUCCUUAACGUUUCUACUAGCUAGCUUUCUCUCAUUGCAAUAAGCAGCAAUAUCUGCAAGUGUUUCUGCACAUGGAACACUAUGCUUCACAGCUGCGGCUGAUAGUGCUUCCCUACCUUCCAUGGAUUCUGCAGCAAUUUUAU